GUUACCGGUUUGUUAGACGUCCCAAUCGAUUAUUAAAGUCAAAUCCCUGAGAUAAAUACACCUUAUUUUUUAGGUAUAAAAACAAACCGGAUUGGAAACCUGAAUUGAAAAAUAUACAAUUAAUACAGUUUUUUAAAUUGACACUGCUAAAUAAAAUUUUAACGUUCGCUAAUGCGUCGUACGUAUUGGGGAAUUUGCUACGUCAUUUCCUCUUGCCAUCUUUGUCCGAAUAGAAGCGACGCAAUUUUGGUAACAAAAAGUUAAAAGUCUCUUUUUUGGUGCAGCGUGAAAAAAGUUUUUCAUUGAAAAUGCUUAAGAGUCUAUGAGGAUUCUGGUUAUACCUUCAGAACAGGGUUCAUAAAGUGUCCACCAGGUGAUGCUGUCUGAUAAGAAAUGAGGGGUGUCUUCAGUCACGGUCUUCCAGCAACAACUUGCAUAAAUGGACCCACUGCAGUGAGAUCAUGAGAAGGCUGAAGAAUGAGGAGAAUGGUGGAGCACACAAUUAAACCCCAGGAUCCAGGUGAUUACUGGCAGUUAGGAUGAAGGUUGUUCUUCAGCUGCUGCCUUGACCUUCUGUGAUAUGUUAGGGUUUUAGAAAGAAUUACAAUUAUUUCGACCAAUCAGAAGCGGUUGCUAGGCGGAGCAGAGACGGCCGACCAAUCAGCGUUUGUCUACCAACGCUGUCUGGCGUGUAACGUCAUUGACUACUACAGACCGUGCGGAAGGAGAGCAGACGGGUGGAGGAACGAAAUUGGACAAACGAAUGAAAAUAUGGUGUAAAACCGUCGUUUAAUUGGUCGCUUCGUUGCUUUGACUUGUGAGCACUCUGAGAAACGUAAUUACUGAAGACGUCUGGAUGCUAAAACAAGCUUUGGAGCUGUUUUUGUCGAUCAUGAGUGAGGCUGGACGCUGAGCACACCUGCGAAGGUUUUUACUCGGGCGUACUUGUUCAGCUGCCGCAGCCUGAAGGGGAAUACCAGCUCUCACCUUACAGACCACACAGAUGUCACCACUUUGUCCGUGACUUGCCCAAUGAAGAUGAUCUGAGAAACCAGAAAAUCCACAACAGAGAUGAACUCACAGAAACACCUGGAUCCACUCAAGGAGGAGGACGACCAGGAGGAGGAGGAGGACCAGGAGGACGAGGAGCACCAGGAGGAGGACGACGACAACGAGCAGCAGCAAGAGGAGAAGUUCUGAACCUCAAAGAGAUGAGACAAAAAAAACCUGAAAUGUUUGCCAGAGAAACCAGGAGUUAGGAAGCUACAGACAGACCACAGAUGACCUCCACCAUCUUGCAGCUUGGCCCCUGUUAAUGCUGUUAUACUUCAUGUUAGCGCCCACCUGCAUUUGACCACUGGAGAGGCGCCUUGUUUUAUUCUCCCAGUCAACACAGUGAGCACAAGGACAUUUCCAAAGACUACAUGUCUUUCUAUUUAACUGCUUAUAAUACAAUUAAUCAAAUAAUUAUAUUAUAAGCAGUUACAUAGAGACAUGUUAGUCUUUGGAAAUGUCCUUGUGCUCACAACUAUAAUGUUGGCUGGGAAAAUAAAACAAAGCGCCUCCCAGUGGUCAAACAACUGUCAUUAUCUUUGCUGUAGUUUGUUUAAUGUUGUCUGGAACAAAAUCAUUAAACUGUUUAUUACUAAACUUUUGGGUUUCAUGUUUAAUCUUUAUAAUUAAUACCAAUUGUUUUCUGGUAUUUAAUACUAGUAAUUUUUUUAAAAUAUUCACCUGCAGGUAAUACACAUAUUUUUGCAAUAGUAAUCAUUAGUAGUAAUUAUUUUUGGUAAAAAGCCAAAUAUUCUCUACUUGCAACUGUUGAACUAUGCAUGGCUGAGAAAUUUGAAUUUAAAAUGUUUAAAUCCUACACAAGAAUAUCAGUAUAAUUUAUUUGAUACAAACAUGAAAAACUAAGAGUAAUUAAAAUUUAGAAAAAAGUUAAAGUUAUUAAAAGUUUAUAGAUUUCUGAAGUUUGGUAAGUUACAGUCCUGAUCUUUAACUUAAUGACACCUACUCCAGACAACAUGUUUGAAAGAGUCAAACUACAGCUCAGAUAAUAACAGAGGCAGACUGAGGAGAAUAAACUAACACUGACCUGGAAAUCGUACUGUCUGUCUUCUCCCUGAUGGCUGUUGGUUGAAGUUUGAGUUCUGUGGAGAAAAUCAAAAACAACAAACAUUAAUGUAAAGCUGCAACUGUUUAAACUGUUAACAUAAAAAUACAGAGGGUUUCUGGGUACUAAAGUUCAAACUGUCAAAAGGUGAAAAAGUAAAAGUCACUAAAUCCACAAAGAAGCUAUCAUGUGGACUAAUUAGAACUGAACUAGGCCAAGAAUUAAAUUUGAUAUGUAAACAAUAAAGAGGUGGUGUUCCUCUAUCAACCAACUCCUGUUGUUUCUAGUGCUCUAGUGUUCAAGUGUCAAACUGAGAAGAAUAAACUAACACUGACCUUCUAGAAAUCUUAAUGUCUUCUCUCUGUGAACUGAAGUGUUUCCUGGUUCGAGUCCUGUGGAGAAAAUCAGAAACAACAAUCAACCAAAUCUGUCAUACUCCACAGUGCACUGAAUUUAGCUGCAAGUCUGAAAACUUCUGACUUUUAUGAAACUGAAUCCAAUUAAUAGGUGUUAAAGAUUUUAGUCCCUGUAAAUUAGAAACCAAUGGUACAUUUGUUGUAUUAUUUAAUCUUGUCAAUAAACAUUUAAUUCAUUCAUGUUA